rnacentral:lncRNA from 1 species
UUAUUAAUUGUCCUAUCAAAUUGUUCAUAAUGAUAGGGAUUUCGAAUCAAUAAUCGGAGCCGUUGAAGUUGAUUUAGAGUAUUUGAAAUAUUUAGAAAUUAAAUUUUAAAAAUUUUAAAAAUUAUUUAUAUGGUGAUCAAAGUGUCAUAAAAUUGACAAUUUUUGACGGCCUAGUAGAGUAAUCCAAAUUGCUUGAAUUUUUGACAGAAAAUUUUUUAUACUAUUUAAAUAAUGUUCGAUAACUCUGAUUAUGAAUUGAGAAAGUCUAACCUCUAUUUUAAAAAGUUUAUUCAUUUAUUACCGUUUAAUUUUUCGACUCUUCAAUAGACUUGAUAAUGAUUUUUAAAUAUUAUAAAAUUUAGUUUCUAAACAUUUCUAAUUGUGUAGACAAUUUCAACGGUACCGAUCGAUUAUCAAUUUGAAGAUCCAAUCAUUCAAAUCGACUUGAUAGGACAAUGUCCACAAUCCUAUUAAUAGGAUAGUAGAUGGACUCUAUACAUAAAGAGGAAGAGAAUUGAGCUUGUAUAUUUUUAAAAGUACCAAAUUAUUAGUGCUUAUAGGUUUUCGGCCCUUAAAUGAAAAGAUGUACAGUUAUGAUGAUAAUAAUUUUCUAGAAUUAAAUAGAUGGUUGAAGAAAUAGCAUAAUAUAAGAGAUAAAAUUGGUGAAAAGAAUAGAUAUAACUAUGAGAAACUUACUAGGAACAAACACUUAGGUAGUGUUUGGUUCGGGAACAAGGGGGGGAAUAAGCCCUUAUUCCCCCCUUUGUUCCCAAACGUAAUGUUUGGUUCCCGGGAACAGUAGUUUCUGGGAAUCUGGAACUAGCUGGUAUAAAGCUGGAACUGCUGUUCCACCCGUUUUCUGGAACAAGCUUGUUCCUUGAUGAGAACAAGAUUAAUUAAAAUCUAAAUUUAAUUUUAAUGGCAGUAAAUUAUUAAUUAAUCUAAUUAAUAUAUUUAAAUUAUUAUUUAUUACUUUAAUAAUUAAAUAAUUUAUUAUUUAUAAUUAAAUAUUAAUAAUUAGAUAAUUAUUAUUAUUAAUUUAUUAUUUAUAAUUAAUUAUAAAUAAUUAAUAAUAUUCAUUAUUUUUUUAUUAAUAAUUAUUAUUCUUAAUGACAAUCGAUAUUAUUAUUAAUUUAUUAUUUAUAAUUAAUUAUUAAUAAUUAAUAAUUAUUAUUAUUUAUUAUUAAUUAUUAAUAAUUUUUAUUCUUAAUAAUUAGAUAAUCGAUAUUAUUAUUAAUUUAUUAUUUAUAAUUAAUUAUUUAUAAUUAAUAAUAAUUAUUAUUUAUUAAUAAUUAUUAAUAAUUUUUAUUCUUAAUAAUUAGAUAAUCGAUAUUAUUAUUAAUUUAUUAUUUAUAAUUAAUAAUUUAUAAUUAAUAAUAAUUAUUAUUUAUUAAUAAUUAAUUAAUAAUUCUUAUUCUUAAUAAUUAGAUAAUGGAUAUUAUUAUUAAUUUAUUAUUUAUAAUUAAAUAAUAAUAAUUAUUAUUAUUUAUUAAUAAAUAUUAAUAUUAAUUAUUAUUAAUAAUUAGAUAAUCAAUAUUAUUAUUAAUUUAUUAUUUAUAAUUAAUUAAUAAGAAUAAUUAAUUAUUAUUAUUAUUUAUUAAUAAUUAAUAAUAAUAAUUAUUAUUAUUAAUUAGAUCAUCCAUAUUAUUAAUUUAUUAUUUAUAAUUAAUUAUUAAUAAUUAAUUUUUUAUUUAUUUUUAAGUAAUAUUUUUAUUACUAUUAAUUACAUAAUAUAAUUUUAAUUUCAAAUUAUAACUCUUAUUCCUCUUGUUCCAAUCUAACCAUCCAAACACUAUUUACCUUAUUCCUAGGAACAACCCAAUUUUCAUCCAAACGCAAAAUUGGUCUAAUUCCUGCUUAUACCUGAACUUGUACCUAUCCCUAGAACUAGCAGUUCUUACUUAUACCCGAAUCAAACGCAGCCUUAGUGUUUUUAAAAACACCAUAGCCGAACUUAUAUAUACAUAUGUGUGUGCGCGAGCGCACGCGAACGUGACGUAGCAAUAAUGUCAAUAUAUCAAAACUAUGUUGUGCAUUGAAUCGGGCUUGUUGGAUUCCAUGCAUGUAAGAAAUUGUAGUAUAGGAAGGUUUAAAAUGCUAAUAUUACUUCCUUCCCCACAUGCAGUAAUAAAGAGCGGAUGGUUUUGUCUAAACCAUCCCAACUCUAAAACAAAUUUAAGAAAUUUCUCCUCAAGUGACGUAAUGCCAUGAGCCUAAAUUAGGCAAUUUUUUUUAAAAAAAUUAAGGCUAAAAAUAGUAAUAAAUGUUAAUAAAUGGAAAGUAAAAAAAAACACACUCCAUAUGUAAAAGAAGAAAUGAGAAACAAUAAUUUUAUCUCCCAAGCCCUAAUUUAUCAUUGGGUGGUAUACGCAAUUUUUCAAAACGAUUGAGGAUAAAUCAGUUGAUAAUGAUUUUCCUCUUAUAAGAUACCAAAUUACCAACAACCUCUUUGGGUGUUCUUUUCUUUUAACUAGCUUUUCACCCGUGCGAUGCACGGCUAAUAUAAUAAUAUAAAAUAAUAAAAAUUAUUAUAUAAUGAUAAAAAAAAUAUUUUAAUUAAUAUUAUAUUUUUUUAACAAAUAAAAAAAUAUACUAUCAAUUUUAAUUAUAGUACAUAUUAAAGUACACAAGCUAGAGAAAAAAAAAUUUUGAUCAAAAUAAAUACUCAAGUAAAAUGCAAAAUUCAACCAUACUCUAUUAUCUAUAAAUUGGUGUGCAACACAAUUUACAUUUAUAUAUUGGUAUGCAAAACAAAAUGAUAACUAAAAUUGAUAUGAAAAAUUACAAAUAAUAUUAAUAUUUAAGCAUAUAAUGAGAUUAACUAAACUUUCAUAUUUGACACAAAUUAGAGUAAGCACACGUAUAUUAUUUCCCUACUGUCACUUUAAAUAUUCAAAAAUAUAUAGAUGUUGGUGUUCAAGAUAAUAUAAAGAAAAACAACUUUGUUGCAUGAAGAUGGAAAAUUACAGAAGUGACAGUAGGAAAAAAAAAUUACGAAAUGAAAAUUACAGAAGUGACAGUAGGGAAAUAAUAUGUUCUAUUUUAAAAUAUUAACAUUUAAGAGCUAAGAAAAUUACAGGAGUGACGUGAGUUUUAAAUUUUUUUUCUCUUUCCAAAAAUGCCUCUAUCCUUUUUUACUAAUAUUUUUAUAUCCAGAAAUUUUCAACCAAUCAUUUCAAAUAAUUAACUAAGUAACAAUUUAUACCCAAAUAAAAAUAAAUAUUUUUCUUCUCAUGCGUAAUAUCCGCACCCGUCAAUUCUUUCGCAACGUAAUAUUCGUAAAUUUUUCAAAUAUCUGAACAUAAUUAUAGGUGACUUUGAAAUAAAAGUUUCUUCAUUGUAGGUAAUUUUUAAUAAUAUAGUAAAAGAUAUUAAUUUUUUAUAAAAGCGUGAGUUUUGAAUUUUUUCCUCUUUCCAAAAUUGUCUCUAUCCUCUUUUACUAAUAUUUUUUUGUCCAGAAAUUUUCAAUCAAUCAUUUCAAAUAAUUAACAAAGUAGUAAUUUAUUUUCAAAUAAAGAUAAAUAUUUUUCUUGUCAUGCGUGAUAUCCGCACUCGUCAAUUCUUUCGCAACAUAAUAUCCGUGAAUUUCUCAAAUAUCUCAUCAACAUAAUUAUAGGUGACUUUGAAAUAAAAUCUCUUUCAUUAUAGGUGAUUUUUAAUAAUAUAGUAAAAGAUAUUAAUUUUUUGCCAUUACAUCUUAUCUAAUGAUUGAAAAUAAAAAUAUCUGUUUUUUUUGUGACAAUAUUAUCCUCGCAUUUAUAUCAUAUUUUCUAUUUAGGCGUUUCUUAAAUAUUUUUGGAAAAACUUUAAAAAUUUUCCUGUGGUUUCGUAGUUUCUCACUUUAUCCCCAUGUGGUUUAAAAUGUAUCAAUUUGCCGCCCUGUGGUUUCUUUUUUUUUUCUUAUCAAUUUUAUUAUUUUUUUUUUCUUAAAUCAGUGAUAAAGUUAAAAUUAAAGGGUACCAAAAUGAAUAUUUGAUCAAUCUAGAUAGGUAUCUGAAGUUUUUUGUAUAUAAUUUAAUGAAAUAUUAACGAAAGCUACCGAAAAGAUAAAACGAAACCACAGGGGGGCAAUUUGAUACAUUUUAAACCACAGGGGGGUUUUUUGAAGUUUUUUCAAUAUUUUUCUUCUCACGCGUAAUAUCCGCCAAUUUUUUCGCAAUGUAAUAUCCGUGAAUUUCUCAAAUAUCUCAGUAAUCCACGUACCAUUUGAAUUUAAUAAUAUAGUAAAUAGAAUAGAUACGAUAACACGUGGAAAUCAUAUAGAAAGCCACGUUAAAAAAAAUGUCUCUAUCUUUUCUUACUAAUAUUUUUAUGUCCACAAAUUUUCAACCAAUAAUUUUAAAUAAUUAAUUAAGUAAUAAUUUAUUCCCAAAUAAAGAUAAAUAUUUUUUUUCUCAUGCGUAGUAUUCGUACCCGCCAAUUCUUUCGCAACGUAAUAUCCGUGAAUUUUUCAAAUAUCUUAUUAAUCCAUCUACCAAAUAGAAUAGAUUUCCUAAAGUAGUAAUAUCCGCACAAUAUAAUUAUAGAUAACUUUUAAAUAAAAUUUUCUUCAUUAUAGGUGAUUUUUAAUAAUAUAGUAAAAGAUAUUAUUUUCUUAAAAAAUUUAAUUUUAUUUUUUCAAAAUUAGAAAAUUUAUAUUUGAGCUUGACACGUAGAUUUUCUAUAUAGUAAAAGAUAUUAUUUUCUUAAAAAAUUUUAUUUUAUUUUUUCUAGAGUAACAUCCGCACCCACCAAUUCUUUCGCAACGUAAUAUCUGUGAAUUUAUCAAAUAUCACAACAUAAUUAUAAGUGAUUUUGAAAUAAAAUUCCUUUAAUUAUAGGUGGCCAAUUCUUUCUCAACGUAAUAUCCGUGAAUAUUAUUUUCAUAAAAAAAUUCUUUCGCAAUGUAAUAUCCGUGAAUUUCUCAAAUAUCUCAACAUAAUUAUAGGUGACUUUGAAAUAAAAUCCCCUUCACUAUAGGUGAUUUUUAAUAAUAUAGUAAAAAAUCUAUAUUUGAAAUAUUACCUAAAGUAGAAAAUCUGUAUUUGAACUUGACACGUAGAUUUUUUAUAUAGUAAAAAAUAUUAUUUACUUAAAAAUUCUAAUUUUAUUUUUUUUAAAGUAUAAAAUUUAUAUUUAAGUUUGACACGUGACAAGCAUAUAGAGCGUCACGUAUCAGUUUCUCAUAUAGGAUUCAUUAAGGGUUCUAUUUUAGUAUAUAGUAAUAGAUUGUACAUACCAACAACUAGGAUGAGAGUGAUACCACAGUAAAAGCUACUGGACUAUAAUUAGAUACCCUUUAUUUUCUCCAUUUGCAUUUUAAAUUUUGUUGGGCAUCGCAAUAGCAAUUAGUUUUUGACAUUCUAUAUUUUAAAGUGACGGUACCUAGCACUAAGUAAUCUCUAUAUCAGUAUCCGCGGGUAUCCACGGAUUAUUCGUAAAUUUAUAGGUACGAGUACUAAUAUUUUCUAUCUAAAAAUUUAUGAAUAAAACGGAGGGGUACCUGUUAAUUUGUAGGUAUUUUGGACAACUUGCAAAUAGAGGUUGAUUCACGUGUUCUUGAAUCAUUCUUGAAGGUCUUCUAACACUCCAAACUCGCGGUGGAUCGAACUAUAAACGAGCACGAUCACAAAUCCACCGUUCAAGUCCCUCUAGAAUAAUAGGUUAAUGAAGAAUGUGGUUUCUACUUUUCUUUCUUUUAUUUUCUCAUUUUCUUUCUUAUUUUUUUUCUUCAUUUUAUGUGAAAUCGCCCGCAUAGUUAUAAUUUCUUUUAUUUUCUUAUUUUCUUUCCUUUUUUUUUCAUUUUAUGUGAAAUCGCAAAUCCUAAUAGAUACGUAAGAAAUAAGGGUAAAUCGAUUAUUAAUUAUUAUCCUAAUAUGAUUAGAAUUUAUCUCUAAUUAGCUUUUCAAUUUAAAAGCGAGAUUAAUUCUAAUCCAAUUAGAUAACUUAAUAAUCGUCGGAUCGAGUCCGAUCAUGAGCGCACCCGAUUCGAUUUAACCAAAUGCCAACAAGUAGCACACUGUUUCGUUGUAGUCGUGGCUUGUGCUUGGUCGCAUCCAACCGGUUAAUGUGAUUGUGGGCUGAAUUGACACGACCCAUAUCAGCUAUGCCAGCCAGGGUGGACACCGCAGUGCUUUUUCUUUCCUUUGAUAUUCUUUUAGAGUUUAAAUAUUUUUUAAAAAAAAAUUAAGAAGAAAACUUAUUUACUUAAUAGAAAACAAUAUAUAUUUUAUAAACUUAAUAUUAAAAAAGUAAAAUUACGAAAUUUAAAAUAAAUCAUGAAGCUAGCUGGCUGUGAUUUAGUAAUGGAGUGUUAUUAAUUUGUUUCUACCUAAGUGAUAAAUAAGGGGGUGCAUGUGCGGAUGUUGCCUGGAUGAGCAAUUAUUCUGCUUGCUUUUACCUUGUGGAGGAAAUUAAUCUAUUAUUAUGUAGUAGGUACAACACAUUAUUUAUAACCAGUUAGUUUUUUUUUCUUUUUGGAGAGAAAAAUAUAAUAAAAUUAUUUUUAAAAAAAGUAUGAUAAAAUGGAUGAACUAUAAAAUAGUAAUUUGAUUAGUUGUAGACACCAUAUAUAUCAGCAAUAUAAUUAUUACAUUCUAGACUUUUUCCUAAUUUGUCGAGCGCAUUUGUUGUUGGAGUACGAGUGAUUGUAUGGUUCACUAAUUUACAUAGUAGCCUAUCGCUUGUAUUUUGCGGGUGUGUACUACUAUGACCAGUAAGAAAUCCAGCUCGUAAAAUUGUGUCGCUUAUUAAUUGUCCUAUCAAAUUGUUCUUAAUGAUAGGAAUUCCGAAUCGAUAAUCGGAGCCGUUAAAGUUGAUCUAGAGUAUUUGAAAUAUCUAAAAACUAAAUUUUAUAAAUUUUAAAAAUUAUUUACAUGGUGAUCAAAGUGUCAUAAAAUCGACAAUUUUUUAUGGCCUAUACGAGCCAUUUGCUUGUUCAACGGUAUAGAGUAAUCCAAAUUGCUUGAAUUUUUGACAGAAAAUUUUUUAUACUAUUUAAAUAAUGUUCGAUAACUCUGAUUAUGAAUUGAGAAAGUCUAACCUCUAUUUUAAAAAGGUUAUUCAUUUAUGACCGUUCAAUUUUUCGACUCUUCGAUAGACUUGAUAAUAAUUUUUAAAUAUUAUAAAAUUUAGUUUCUUAACAUUUCUAAUUGUGUAGACAAUUUCAACGAUGCCGAUCGAUUAUCAAUUUAAAGAUCCGAUCAUUCAAAUCGAUUUGAUAGGACAAUGUCCACAAUCCUAUUAAUAGGAUAGUAGAUGGACUCUAUACAUAAAGAGGAAGAAAAUUGAGCUUGUAUAUUUUUAAAAAUACCAAAUUAUUAGUGCUUAUAGGUUUUCGGCCCUUAAAUGAAGAUAUGUACAGUUAAGAUGAUAAUAAUUCUCUAGAAUUAAAUAAAUGGUUGAUGAAAUAGCAUAAUAUAAGGGAUAAAAUUGGUGAAAAGAAUAGAUAUAACGAUGAGAAACUUACUAGGAAUAAAUACUUAGUGUUUUUAAAAACACCAUAGCCGAACUUAUAUAUA